rnacentral:rRNA from 1 species
GACGAACGCUGGCGGCGUGCUUAACACAUGCAAGUCGAACGGAAAGGCCUGCUUUCCCUUGUGGAUUGCGGGUACUCGAGUGGCGAACGGGUGAGUAACACGUGAGUGAUCUGCCCCCAACUUGGGUAUAAGCCUGGGAAACUGGGUCUAAUUCCCGAUAGGACUGCAGGGUGGUGCCUGUGGUGGAAAACGAUUUUCUAGUGGUUGGGGAUGAGCUCGCGGCCUAUCAGCUUGUUGGUGGGGUAAUGGCCUACCAAGGCGGCGACGGGUAGCCGGCCUGGGAGGGUGGACGGCCACAGUGGGACUGAGAUACGGCCCAGACUCCUACGGGAGGCAGCAGUGGGGAAUCUGGCACAAUGGGCGGAAGCCUGAUGCAGCGACGCCGCGUGGGGGAUGACGGCCUUCGGGUGGUAAACUCCUUUCGACCGCGAGGAAGCCACCUGGUUGGAAGGGUGGUGACGGUAGUGGUAGAAGAAGCACCGGCUAACUACGUG